rnacentral:rRNA from 1 species
GUAUAUAAUUUAAAGAACUAUUUUAAAUUACAACUUUUAGAGUUUUUAUUAUUAGGCGGCCAGUCCAUUAUUGGGCUUGGUUGUCUUCUUUUUUUGAGGAAGGCUCGUCCGCUCUGGGUUAGUCGGGUCCUAAGCUGAGGCCGACAGGCGUAGGCGAUGGAUAACAGGUUGAUAUUCCUGUACCACCUAUAAUCGUUUUAAUCGAUGGGGGGACGCAGUAGGAUAGGCGAAGCGUGCGAUUGGAUUGCACGUCUAAGCAGUAAGGCUGAGUAUUAGGCAAAUCCGGUACUCGUUAAGGCUGAGCUGUGAUGGGGAGAAGACAUUGUGUCUUCGAGUCGUUGAUUUCACACUGCCGAGAAAAGCCUCUAGAUAGAAAAUAGGUGCCCGUACCGCAAACCGACACAGGUAGUCAAGAUGAGAAUUCUAAGGUGAGCGAGCGAACUCUCGUUAAGGAACUCGGCAAAAUGACCCCGUAACUUCGGGAGAAGGGGUGCUCUUUAGGGUUAACGCCCAGAAGAGCCGCAGUGAAUAGGCCCAAGCGACUGUUUAUCAAAAACACAGGUCUCUGCUAAACCGUAAGGUGAUGUAUAGGGGCUGACGCCUGCCCGGUGCUGGAAGGUUAAGAGGAGUGGUUAGCUUCUGCGAAGCUACGAAUCGAAGCCCCAGUAAACGGCGGCCGUAACUAUAACGGUCCUAAGGUAGCGAAAUUCCUUGUCGGGUAAGUUCCGACCCGCACGAAAGGCGUAACGAUUUGGGCACUGUCUCAACGAGAGACUCGGUGAAAUCAUAGUACCUGUGAAGAUGCAGGUUACCCGCGACAGGACGGAAAGACCCCGUGGAGCUUUACUGUAGCCUGAUAUUGAAAUUCGGCACAGCUUGUACAGGAUAGGUAGGAGCCUUUGAAACGUGAGCGCUAGCUUACGUGGAGGCGCUGGUGGGAUACUACCCUAGCUGUGUUGGCUUUCUAACCCGCACCACUUAUCGUGGUGGGAGACAGUGUCAGGCGGGCAGUUUGACUGGGGCGGUCGCCUCCUAAAAGGUAACGGAGGCGCUCAAAGGUUCCCUCAGAAUGGUUGGAAAUCAUUCAUAGAGUGUAAAGGCAUAAGGGAGCUUGACUGCGAGACCUACAAGUCGAGCAGGGUCGAAAGACGGACUUAGUGAUCCGGUGGUUCCGCAUGGAAGGGCCAUCGCUCAACGGAUAAAAGCUACCCCGGGGAUAACAGGCUUAUCUCCCCCAAGAGUUCACAUCGACGGGGAGGUUUGGCACCUCGAUGUCGGCUCAUCGCAUCCUGGGGCUGUAGUCGGUCCCAAGGGUUGGGCUGUUCGCCCAUUAAAGCGGUACGCGAGCUGGGUUCAGAACGUCGUGAGACAGUUCGGUCCCUAUCCGUCGUGGGCGUAGGAAAUUUGAGAGGAGCUGUCCUUAGUACGAGAGGACCGGGAUGGACAUACCUCUGGUGUACCAGUUGUCGUGCCAACGGCAUAGCUGGGUAGCUAUGUGUGGACGGGAUAAGUGCUGAAAGCAUCUAAGCAUGAAGCCCCCCUCAAGAUGAGAUUUCCCAACUUCGGUUAUAAGAUCCCUCAAAGAUGAUGAGGUUAAUAGGUUCGAGGUGGAAGCAUGGUGACAUGUGGAGCUGACGAAUACUAAUCGAUCGAAGACUUAAUCAA